rnacentral:pre_miRNA from 13 species
UGUAAUAGUUUUUGUUUGCAGUCCUCUGUUAGUUUUGCAUAGUUGCACUACAAGAAGAAUGUAGUUGUGCAAAUCUAUGCAAAACUGAUGGUGGCCUGCUAUUUCCUUCAAGUGAUUU